UACGUAGGGGGCUAGCGUUGUCCGGAAUCAUUGGGCGUAAAGCGCGUGUAGGCGGUCUGUCGCGUCUGCUGUGAAAAUCCGGGGCUCAACCCCGGACUUGCAGUGGGUACGGGCAGACUAGAGUGUGGUAGGGGAGACUGGAAUUCCUGGUGUAGCGGUGAAAUGCGCAGAUAUCAGGAGGAACACCGAUGGCGAAGGCAGGUCUCUGGGCCACUACUGACGCUGAGAAGCGAAAGCAUGGGGAGCGAACAGG
rnacentral:rRNA from 1 species